rnacentral:rRNA from 1 species
AUUGAACGCUGGCGGCAGGCCUAACACAUGCAAGUCGAGCGGAUGAAGGGAGCUUGCUCCUGGAUUCAGCGGCGGACGGGUGAGUAAUGCCUAGGAAUCUGCCUGGUAGUGGGAGAUAACGUCCGGAAACGGGCGCUAGUACCGCAUACGUCCUGAGGGAGAAAGUGGGGGAUCUUCGGACCUCACGCUAUCAGAUGAGCCUAGGUCGGAUUAGCUAGUUGGUGGGGUAAAGGCCUACCAAGGCGACGAUCCGUAACUGGUCUGAGAGGAUGAUCAGUCACACUGGAACUGAGACACGGUCCAGACUCCUACGGGAGGCAGCAGUGGGGAAUAUUGGACAAUGGGCGAAAGCCUGAUCCAGCCAUGCCGCGUGUGUGAAGAAGGUCUUCGGAUUGUAAAGCACUUUAAGUUGGGAGGAAGGGCAGUAAGUUAAUACCUUGCUGUUCUGACGUUACCAACAGAAUAAGCACCGGCUAACUUCGUG